rnacentral:rRNA from 1 species
UACGUAGGGUGCAAGCGUUGUCCGGAAUUAUUGGGCGUAAAGAGCUCGUAGGCGGUCUGUCACGUCGGCUGUGAAAACCCGAGGCUCAACCUCGGGCCUGCAGUCGAUACGGGCAAACUAGAGUACUGCAGGGGAGACUGGAAUUCCUGGUGUAGCGGUGAAAUGCGCAGAUAUCAGGAGGAACACCGAUGGCGAAGGCAGGUCUCUGGGCCGAAUACUGACGCUGGAGGAGCGAAAGCGUGGGGAGCGAACAGG